rnacentral:rRNA from 1 species
GAUGAACGCUGGCGGCGUGCCUAAUACAUGCAAGUCGAGCGACCAGACGAGGAGCUUGCUCCUCUGACGUUAGCGGCUGACGGGUGAGUAACAAGUGGAUCACCUACCUCUAAUACUGGGAUAACUUCGGGAAACCGCAGCUACUACCAGAUCAUAUAUUGAACCGCAUGGUUCAAUAGUGCAAGACGGUUUUCCUGUCACUUAUAGAUGGAUCCGCGCCGCAUUAGCUAGUUGGUAAGGUAACGGCUUACCAAGGCAACGAUGCGUAGCCGACCUGAGAGGGUGAUCGGCCACACUGGAACUGAGACACGGUCCAGACUCCUACGGGAGGCAGCAGUAGGGAAUCUUCCGCAAUGGGCGAAAGCCUGACGGAGCAACGCCGCGUGAGUGAUGAAGGUCUUCGGAUCGUAAAGCUCUGUUAUUAGGGAAGAACAAAUGUGUAAGUAACUAUGCACGUCUUGACGGUACCUAAUCAGAAAGCCACGGCUAACUACGUG